CACCGAUCUCUAAGUCCUAUGGUAAUAGUUAUUGGCCAUAUUUUUUGGUUAAGUCAAACCCACCGUUCACCAGUGGGUGCAAAGCCAUCAUUGGAUCUUCACCUAAUAAUCAUUGGGCCUAACCCCAUCUCUACCUUAGAGCAUCUAAUGCUAUUAGAGUGGUUGUGCCUUCUCGAUGUAACUGAACCACUAUGAUCAACUGAGAAUAAUCAAUGUCAGAAAGAAGCUCGCAUCUCUACAUGAUGGA
rnacentral:lncRNA from 1 species